rnacentral:lncRNA from 1 species
UGGGGCUUCUCUCUCCAUUCUCUCUAUCUGAUCUAUGGAACCUAGUAUAAACCUAAGAUGAUCUUUUCAAAGAAAUCUAAAAGCAUUUUGAUAUCCAUGUAGUGUGUCGGACCCUAUCUCAGCCAUGUCAAGCAUUUUUGAAAUCCACUAUUGAUGAAUCCUGUUAAUCGAUCUUGACCACGAUCCAAUCUAUGCUUCACGAUUUCUUGAUCGAGUCAUUUACAUCUGAUCUUCAGCUAAGAGAUCCUAAAUU